rnacentral:rRNA from 1 species
GACGAACGCUGGCGGCGCGCCUAACACAUGCAAGUCGAACGAGCGAGAGAGAGCUUGCUUUCUCGAGCGAGUGGCGAACGGGUGAGUAACGCGUGAGGAACCUGCCUCAAAGAGGGGGACAACAGUUGGAAACGACUGCUAAUACCGCAUAAGCCCACGGUGCCGCAUGGCACAGAGGGAAAAGGAGCAAUCCGCUUUGAGAUGGCCUCGCGUCCGAUUAGCUAGUUGGUGAGGUAAUGGCCCACCAAGGCGACGAUCGGUAGCCGGACUGAGAGGUUGAACGGCCACAUUGGGACUGAGACACGGCCCAGACUCCUACGGGAGGCAGCAGUGGGGAAUAUUGCACAAUGGGGGAAACCCUGAUGCAGCGACGCCGCGUGGAGGAAGAAGGUCUUCGGAUUGUAAACCCCUGUUGUUGGGGAAGAUAAUGACGGUACCCAACAAGGAAGUGACGGCUAACUACGUG